rnacentral:rRNA from 1 species
GAUGAACGCUGGCGGCGUGCCUAAUACAUGCAAGUCGAGCGAACAGACGAGGAGCUUGCUCCUCUGACGUUAGCGGCGGACGGGUGAGUAACACGUGGAUAACCUACCUAUAAGACUGGGAUAACUUCGGGAAACCGGAGCUAAUACCGGAUAAUAUAUUGAACCGCAUGGUUCAAUAGUGAAAGACGGUUUUGCUGUCACUUAUAGAUGGAUCCGCGCCGCAUUAGCUAGUUGGUAAGGUAACGGCUUACCAAGGCAACGAUGCGUAGCCGACCUGAGAGGGGGGUCGGCCCACCAGGACCGGAGACACGGCCCAGACCCCACGGGGGGGCAGAGGAGGGGAAUCUUCCGGAAGGGGGGAAAGCUUAACGGGGCAACGCGGGGGGGGUGAGGAAGGUUUUCGGAUUGAAAAACUUUUUUAUUGGGAAAAAAAAAAUUUGUAAGUAACUAGGCCCCUUUGGGAGGAACCUAAGAAGAAAGCCCCGGCUAAUUCCGG